rnacentral:rRNA from 1 species
AGUGAACGCUGGCGGUAGGCCUAACACAUGCAAGUCGAACGGCAGCACAGUAAGAGCUUGCUCUUACGGGUGGCGAGUGGCGGACGGGUGAGGAAUACAUCGGAAUCUACUUUUUCGUGGGGGAUAACGUAGGGAAACUUACGCUAAUACCGCAUACGACCUACGGGUGAAAGCAGGGGAUCUUCGGACCUUGCGCGAUUGAAUGAGCCGAUGUCGGAUUAGCUAGUUGGCGGGGUAAAGGCCCACCAAGGCGACGAUCCGUAGCUGGUCUGAGAGGAUGAUCAGCCACACUGGAACUGAGACACGGUCCAGACUCCUACGGGAGGCAGCAGUGGGGAAUAUUGGACAAUGGGCGCAAGCCUGAUCCAGCCAUACCGCGUGGGUGAAGAAGGCCUUCGGGUUGUAAAGCCCUUUUGUUGGGAAAGAAAAGCAGCAGGUUAAUACCCCGCUGUUCUGACGGUACCCAAAGAAUAAGCACCGCCUAACUUCGUG